UAUGCUUAGUUGCAUGAUGAUGUGUUAACAGGAAGAAUGCAUAGAUCUGCAACGGAGGAUAAAAGAUGGUAUUAUCGAAAGACCUAGGGUUGUAAGUUUUGCUCCUACACGAGAAACUCCUACUUUCCUAGAAACAACUUAUCCAAUAACCAUUUUUUAUGAGUGAUUAAUGCUUGUUUGUUUAUAUGACCAGUCUAUGUUCUCGGAAGGUUACUGUUCUUAGAACUACGAGGAAAUGAAUGAAUCCAAUGGAAUAAAAUGGUACUCAAGUUAUUGGUGAAACUAUUGUGCUUAACUCAAAAAUUGUUUAAAAAGAGUAGGUUUCAAGGAUCGAUAAUUGCUUAAAGAAUGAGAAAUGAAAACCUAGCAAAACAUUUCACUUUGUGAGGAGGCAGCUGUGAAAAUUCAUUUUGAUUGGGGUUAUGAAUGACUAGGUUCUUUACUUAUAUAUGAUUACACUUGCCAAUUUACGAUUUUAA
rnacentral:lncRNA from 1 species